UAUCAAAAACAUGUCUUUUUGAAAUUAAUUUGAGGUUUGACCUGCCCACUGAGAAUUUAAAUGGCCGCAGUAUUUUAACUGUGCAAAGGUAGCAUAAUCAUUAGUCUUUUAAUUGAAGGCUGGAAUGAAUGGUUGGAUGAAAUAUUGACUGUUUCAAUUUAAUUUAUAUUGAAAUUUAUUUUUUAGUUAAAAAGCUAAAAUUAUUUUAAAAGACGAGAAGACCCUAUAAAUCUUUAUAUUUUUACUUAUUAUUAAUAUUUAGAAAAAUAGAUUUUUAUUAGGUAUAAGUAUUUUAUUGGGGUGAUAUUGAAACUUAAUAAACUUUUAAUUUAUAGAAGCCAUUGAUUAUUGACUUAUUGAUCCAUUAUAAUGAUUAAAAAAUUAAGUUACUUUAGGGAUAACAGCGUAAUUUUUUUGAAGAGUUCACAUUGAUAAAAAAGAUUGCGACCUCGAUGUUGGAUUAAGAUAUAAGUUUAGGUGUAGAAGUUUAAAUUUAAAGUCUGUUCGACUUAUUAUUUCUUACAUGAUCUGAGUUCA
rnacentral:rRNA from 1 species